rnacentral:rRNA from 1 species
GAUGAACGCUAGCGGCAGGCCUAAUACAUGCAAGUCGAGGGGCAGCACGGGUAGCAAUAUCUGGUGGCGACCGGCGCACGGGUGCGUAACACGUAUACAAUCUGCCUUUUACAGGGGAAUAGCCCGGAGAAAUUCGGAUUAAUGCCCCAUAAUAGAUUAACUGGCCUCAGUUGAUUUUGAAAGCUCCGGCGGUAAGAGAUGAGUAUGCGUAUGAUUAGCUAGUUGGUAGUGUAAUGGACUACCAAGGCGACGAUCAUUAGGGGAUCUGAGAGGACUACCCCCCACACUGGUACUGAGACACGGACCAGACUCCUACGGGAGGCAGCAGUAAGGAAUAUUGGUCAAUGGAGGCAACUCUGAACCAGCCAUGCCGCGUGCAGGAUGAAGGCGCUAUGCGUCGUAAACUGCUUUUAUACGGGAGAAAACCCACGCUCGUGAGCGUGGUUGAUAGUACUGUAAGAAUAAGGAUCGGCUAACUUCGUGCCAGCCGCCGCGGUAACAC